UACGAAGGGGGCUAGCGUUGCUCGGAAUCACUGGGCGUAAAGCGCACGUAGGCGGCUUUCUAAGUCAGGGGUGAAAUCCUGGAGCUCAACUCCAGAACUGCCUUUGAUACUGGAGAGCUUGAGUCCGGAAGAGGUGAGUGGAACUCCGAGUGUAGAGGUGAAAUUCGUAGAUAUUCGGAAGAACACCAGUGGCGAAGGCGGCUCACUGGUCCGGUACUGACGCUGAUGCGCGACAGCGUGGGGAGCGAACGUGG
rnacentral:rRNA from 1 species